GCUGCUUGUAGGGUAGGAGGAGAGAGGUGUUACCUUAUCAGCUGCCUCCUCUCCCAUCCUCUCCUUCUGCAGCAGC